AACGAAAAUACCAAGCUUGCUUGGUUGAUUAGUGGCGAACGGGUGAGUAACACGUGAGUAACCUGCCCCUUACUUUCCUGGAUAACUGCUCGAAAGGGUAGCUAAUACGGGAUAUUCUGACUAGCCUGCAUGGGUUGGUUUGGAAAGGUUGUUUUUCUGGUAAGGGAUGGGCUCGCGGCCUAUCAGCUUGUUGGUGGGGUGAUGGCCUACCAAGGCUUUGACGGGUAGCCGGCCUGAGAGGGUGGACGGUCACACUGGGACUGAGAUACGGCCCAGACUCCUACGGGAGGCAGCAGUGGGGAAUAUUGCACAAUGGGCGCAAGCCUGAUGCAGCGACGCCGCGUGAGGGAUGAAGGCCUUCGGGUUGUAAACCUCUUUCGUCAGGGAACAAGGCACUGCUUUGGUGGUGUUGAGGGUACCUGGAUAAGAAGCGCCGGCUAACUACGUGCCAGCAGCCGCGGUAAUACGUAGGGCGCAAGCGUUGUCCGGAAUUAUUGGGCGUAAAGAGCUCGUAGGCGGCUGGUCGCGUCUGUCGUGAAAACUUCCGGCUCAACCGGGGGCUUGCGGUGGGUACGGGCCGGCUAGAGUGCGGUAGGGGUAACUGGAACUCCGGGUGUAGCGGUGGAAUGCGCAGAUAUCAGGAAGAACACCGAUGGCGAAGGCAGGUUACUGGGCCGUUACUGACGCUGAGGAGCGAAAGCGUGGGGAGCGAACAGGAUUAGAUACCCUGGUAGUCCACGCCGUAAACGUUGGGCACUAGGUGUGAGGCUCCUUUCCGGGGGUUUUGCGCC
rnacentral:rRNA from 1 species